UACGAAGGGUGCAAGCGUUAAUCGGAAUUACUGGGCGUAAAGCGUGCGUAGGCGGUUGGUUAAGUCUGUCGUGAAAGCCCUGGGCUCAACCUGGGAAUGGCGAUGGAUACUGGCCGGCUAGAGUGUGAUAGAGGAUGGCGGAAUUCCCGGUGUAGCGGUGAAAUGCGUAGAGAUCGGGAGGAACAUCUGUGGCGAAGGCGGCCAUCUGGAUCAACACUGACGCUGAGGCACGAAAGCGUGGGGAGCAAACAGG
rnacentral:rRNA from 1 species